rnacentral:rRNA from 1 species
UACGAAGGGUGCUAGCGUUGUUCGGAAUUACUGGGCGUAAAGCGCGCGUAGGCGGCUUUGCAAGUCAGGGGUGAAAUCCCACGGCUCAACCGUGGAAUUGCCUUUGAAACUGCAAAGCUGGAGUGUCGGAGGGGAUAGCGGAAUUCCUAAUGUAGAGGUGAAAUUCGUAGAUAUUAGGAGGAACACCGGUGGCGAAGGCGGCUAUCUGGACGACAACUGACGCUGAAGCGCGAAAGCGCGGGGAUCAAACAGG